UACAGAGGUCCCGAGCGUUGUUCGGAUUCACUGAGCGUAAAGGGUGCGUAGGUGGUGAGGUAAGUCGGAUGUGAAAUCUCCGGGCUCAACCCGGAAAUGGCAUUGGAAACUACCUUGCUGGAGGAUUUGAGGGGGGAUUGGAAUACUUGGUGUAGCAGUGAAAUGCGUAGAUAUCAAGUGGAACACCAGUGGCGAAGGCGAAUCCCUGGAAAAUACCUGACACUGAGGCACGAAAGCUAGGGGAGCAAACAGG
rnacentral:rRNA from 1 species